GGAGGUAUAGCUUGGUGGCAGAGUGCAUGCCUAGCAUGCAUGAGGACCUGGGUUCAAUCCCCAGUACUGCCA
rfam:Camelus ferus unplaced genomic scaffold scaffold437, whole genome shotgun sequence.